rnacentral:rRNA from 1 species
AGCGAACGCUGGCGGCAGGCCUAAAACAUGCAAGUCGAGCGCCGUAGCAAUACGGAGCGGCAGACGGGUGAGUAACACGUGGGAACGUGCCCUUUGGUUCGGAACAACACAGGGAAACUUGUGCUAAUACCGGAUAAGCCCUUACGGGGAAAGAUUUAUCGCCAAAGGAUCGGCCCGCGUCUGAUUAGCUAGUUGGUGGGGUAACGGCCCACCAAGGCGACGAUCAGUAGCUGGUCUGAGAGGAUGAUCAGCCACACUGGGACUGAGACACGGCCCAGACUCCUACGGGAGGCAGCAGUUAGGAAUCUUGGACAAUGGGCGCAAGCCUGAUCCAGCCAUGCCGCGUGAGUGAUGAAGGCCCUAGGGUUGUAAGCUCUUUCAGCGGGGAAGAUAAUGACGGUACCCGCAGAAGAAGCCCCGGCUAACUUCGUGCCAGCCGCCGCUGU